rnacentral:lncRNA from 1 species
UUGAUUUUUUAAUAUUUCCACUCGUAGGUAAAUGGACAAACUUUUUUUUUUCCAAAGGAUAAAACUUACACACUUUUGAUCUAAAAAAGAAAAUUACUCAUUCAAGACUACCAAUCUUCCUAAUGCCUUGUUUGAGAGCAACAUUUGUAGUACUAUAUCCACCAUCAAUCAAUAUAUUCAUCCCACUUAUAUACUUUGAUUCAUCACUAGCAAGGUACAAUGCUGCUUGUGCAACAUCCUCACCCUCCAAAAUUGUCCCUUUCAAGUUUAAUUAUAUUUUAUCGAGUCUAAAUAUCUAAAGAAAAAUUGAAAAUUUAACUCUAAUUGAAAAGUUAAAGUUGGAUUGACUCUCGAAAAACAUAAUAUGAUAAUUAUAAAGGAACAGAGGGAGUAUACUAAAGUAUCACUUUUUCGAGAGUUUCAUAUUUGUUAUCAAUUGCUUGUGUUUCCUUAAGUUUGAAUUCAGUUGUACAUAUUAUAUGAUAAUUCUCGUGAGAUAUAUUCAAACUGAUUUGUAUUACUAUUAUAUGCAUGAUUUGCAUUAUGUCAUGCUCGUCCUCGACUCAUGCGUCUAUUUAUUUUAUUUUAUAUAACUCUAAGUGUUUACUUGUGAGCGUUCAAUGUUGAAGGACAUAAAUUAACAGCUAAAUUCAAAUUAAAAGACACGUUUAUGUAUCAUGCCGUUUCAAAAAUAGGACAUCUUUGAUAGGUUCACUUUUUUUCUAGAGUUUCAUAUCUAAUAUCAAUUAUUUGAUUUUCCUCAACUAUCAUAACAUUGGAUAUGAAGAAGAAAACACUUAAAUUUAUAUAAAAUUGAAUAAGUACACACAUACCUACGUCAUACAUAGUGUAAUAGUUGUGAUACUCUCAAUAAUAGAAAUAUCUUUGAUAGGUUCUAAAUUCUAAAAUACCCCUAUAAAUAAUGUUACUUUCUAAGUAACUCCAUUUUUUUCAAUUUGUCAACACUUUGAUUACAUUCAAAUAAAUCUAUUGUUCAAAGUUGAGGGAUAGUUUGAUUUUUUAAUAGUUCCACUCAUAGGUAAAUGGACAAACUUUUUUUUUCCAAAGGAUAAAACUCACACUUUUGAUCUAAAAAAGAAAAUUACUCAUUCAAGACUACCAAUCUUCCUAAUGCCUUGUUUGAGAGCAACAUUUGUAGUACUAUAUCCACCAUCAAUCAAUAUAUUCAUCCCACUUAUAUACUUUGAUUCAUCACUAGCAAGGUACAAUGCUGCUUGUGCAACAUCCUCACCCUCCAAAAUUGUCCCUUUCAAGUUUGAAAUUUGUGACACAAAUUCCUCAACC